rnacentral:rRNA from 1 species
GACGAACGCUGGCGGCGUGCUUAACACAUGCAAGUCGAACGGGAAGUCCCUGCUUUUGUGGGGUGCUCGAGUGGCGAACGGGUGAGUAACACUUGAGUAACCUGCCCUUGACUUUGGGAUAACUUCAUGAAACUGGGGCUAAUACCGGAUAGGAGCUCCUGCUGCAUGGUGGGGGUUGGAAAGUUUCGGCGGUUGGUGAUGGACUCGCGGCUUAUCAGCUUGUUGGUGGGGUAGUGGCUUACCAAGGCUUUGACGGGUAGCCGGCCUGAGAGGGUGACAGGCCACAUUGGGACUGAGAUACGGCCCAGACUACUACGGGAGGCAGCAGUGGGGAAUAGUGCACAAUGGGCGGAAGCAUGAUGUAGCAAAGCCGCGUGCGGGAUGACGGCCUUCGGGUUGUAAACCGCUUUCGCCUGUGACGAAGCGUGAGUGACGGUAAUGGGUAAAGAAGCACCGGCUAACUACGUG